rnacentral:rRNA from 1 species
UGAGACAGUUCGGUCCUUAUCCAUCGUGGGCGUAGGGUAUUUGAGAGGGCUUGUUCCUAGUACGAGAGGACCGGAAUGAGUUAGCCUCUGGUGUUCCAGUUGUUCAACACGAGCAAGCUGGGUAGCUACGCUAAUUAGAGAUAACCGCUGAAAGCAUCUAAGUGGGAAGCUCGCCUCAAGAUUAGAUACCCCUCUUCAACUUCGGUUGAAGGUAAGAUCCCUUGAAGACUACAAGGUUGAUAGGCUGGGUGUGUAAGCAGAGUAAUCUGUUAAGCUGACCAGUACUAAUGUAUCGAGAGUUUUAACCACAAUUUAUUA